rnacentral:rRNA from 1 species
UACGUAGGGGGCGAGCGUUAUCCGGAUUCAUUGGGCGUAAAGCGCGCGUAGGCGGCCGCCUAAGCGGAACCUCUAACCCCGGGGCUCAACCUCGGGCCGGGUUCCGGACUGGGCGACUCGAGUGCGGUAGAGGAGAGCGGAAUUCCCGGUGUAGCGGUGGAAUGCGCAGAUAUCGGGAAGAACACCGAUGGCGAAGGCAGCUCUCUGGGCCGUCACUGACGCUGAGGCGCGAAAGCUGGGGGAGCGAGCAGG